rnacentral:tRNA from 2 species
AGAAAUAUGUCUGAAAAAAGAGUUACUUUGAUAGAGUAAACCAUAGAGGUUUAAAUCCUCUUAUUUCUA